UACAGAGGUGGCAAGCGUUGUUCGGAAUUACUGGGCGUAAAGGGUGCGCAGGCGGCGUCGCAAGUCAGGCGUGAAAUCCCCGGGCUUAACCUGGGAACUGCACUUGAAACUACGAUGCUGGAGUAUGGCAGAGGGAGGUGGAAUUCCACGUGUAGCGGUGAAAUGCGUAGAGAUGUGGAGGAACACCGAUGCGAAGGCAGCCUCCUGGGCCAAUACUGACGCUCAUGUGCGAAAGCGUGGGGAGCAAACAGG
rnacentral:rRNA from 1 species